AGAACAAAAUUGAAUUGUGAGAUGCGAGAUGGAGUAUCCGAUGGAUGUAAUUCAGAUGGAGUAUCCGAUGGAGGUUCUCACCAGGAGGCUAGCAAGAGUUGUUCCAUAGUUUAUGUAUAGGAGCGAGCAUAGACUGGCCACUUUGUUCAUCUCCAUUCCUAACUUCUGAUUCAUGUAAGCUACAGAAUGGCAGCGAAUAAAACCAUGCAUUAAUUGAAGAUUUUUCAAAAGCAUAAAUAUGCAGGGGCAGUAGCACAUCAUAUAUACCUUCAAUAGUUUUCCCCACUAGGGGGAAAUGCCGGACGACUUGGGAUACAACGUGUGGUCGAGAUCUGCAGUAUUUUCAGUCGUGAGAAACUUGACACCCACAAAAAAAAACAAGAGCUCACCAAAUAUUAGGCAGUUAAUUUCUUGCUCCAUGGCCAUGGGUAUGCAGAGAAGUUUCGUGGAAGAGGAGANNN
rnacentral:lncRNA from 1 species